rnacentral:rRNA from 1 species
AUGCACACUGGCGGCGUGCCUCAUACAUGCAAGUCGAGCGAACAGACGAGGAGCUUGCUCCUCUGACGUUAGCGGCGGACGGGUGAGUAACACGUGGAUAACCUACCUAUAAGACUGGGAUAACUUCGGGAAACCGGAGCUAAUACCGGAUAAUAUAUUGAACCGCAUGGUUCAAUAGUGAAAGACGGUUUUGCUGUCACUUAUAGAUGGAUCCGCGCCGCAUUAGCUAGUUGGUAAGGUAACGGCUUACCAAGGCAACGAUGCGUAGCCGACCUGAGAGGGUGAUCGGCCACACUGGAACUGAGACACGGUCCAGACUCCUACGGGAGGCAGCAGUAGGGAAUCUUCCGCAAUGGGCGAAAGCCUGACGGAGCAACGCCGCGUGAGUGAUGAAGGUCUUCGGAUCGUAAAACUCUGUUAUUAGGGAAGAACAAAUGUGUAAGUAACUAUGCACGUCUUGACGGUACCUAAUCAGAAAGCCACGGCUAACUACGUG